rnacentral:tRNA from 1 species
GGCCCGUUAGCUCAGUUGGUUAGAGCGUCGCUAAUAACGCGAAGGUCGCGGGUUCGAUCCCCUCACGGGCCA